rnacentral:rRNA from 1 species
GAUGAACGCUGGCGGCGUGCUUAACACAUGCAAGUCGAACGAGUAAAGCAUCUUCGGAUGUGUAUAGAGUGGCGAACGGGUGAGUAACACGUGACCAACCUGCCUCUCGCACCGGGAUACCUUGGCGAAAGCCAUGCUAAUACCGGAUACGAUCCUAAUAAGGCAUCUUGUUAGGAUGAAAGCUUUUGCGGCGAGAGAUGGGGUCGCGGCCCAUCAGGUAGUUGGCGGGGUAGCGGCCCACCAAGCUUACGACGGGUAGCCGGACUGAGAGGUCGAUCGGCCACAUUGGGACUGAGAUACGGCCCAGACUCCUACGGGAGGCAGCAGUGGGGAAUUUUGCGCAAUGGGGGAAACCCUGACGCAGCAACGCCGCGUGCGGGAUGACGGCCUUCGGGUUGUAAACCGCUUUCAGUAGGGACGAAUUUUGACGGUACCUACAGAAGAAGCCCCGGCUAACUACGUGCCAGCAGCCGCGGUAAAAC